rnacentral:rRNA from 1 species
CGCGCAGGUGGUUUCUUAAGUCUGAUGUGAAAGCCCACGGCUCAACCGUGGAGGGUCAUUGGAAACUGGGAGACUUGAGUGCAGAAGAGGAAAGUGGAAUUCCAUGUGUAGCGGUGAAAUGCGUAGAGAUAUGGAGGAACACCAGUGGCGAAGGCGACUUUCUGGUCUGUAACUGACACUGAGGCGCGAAAGCGUGGGGAGCAAACAGGAUUAGAUACCCCUGGUAGUCCACGCCGUAAACGAUGAGUGCUAAGUGUUAGAGGGUUUCCGCCCUUUAGUGCUGAAGUUAACGCAUUAAGCACUCCGCCUGGGGAGUACGGCCGCAAGGCUGAAACUCAAAGAAUUGACGG